UGAGGAAUAUUGGACAAUGGGCGCAAGCCUGAUCCAGCCAUGCCGCGUGCAGGAUGACGGUCCUAUGGAUUGUAAACUGCUUUUGUACAGGAAGAAACAGUUCUACGUGUAGAACCUUGACGGUACUGUAAGAAUAAGGAUCGGCUAACUCCGUGCCAGCAGCCGCGGUAAUACGGAGGAUCCAAGCGUUAUCCGGAAUCAUUGGGUUUAAAGGGUCCGUAGGCGGUUAGAUAAGUCAGUGGUGAAAGCCCAUCGCUCAACGGUGGAACGGCCAUUGAUACUGUCUGACUUGAAUUAUUAGGAAGUAACUAGAAUAUGUAGUGUAGCGGUGAAAUGCUUAGAGAUUACAUGGAAUACCAAUUGCGAAGGCAGGUUACUACUAAUGGAUUGACGCUGAUGGACGAAAGCGUGGGUAGCGAACAGGAUUAGAUACCCCAGUAGUCCCUGAG
rnacentral:rRNA from 1 species